CCUACGGGAGGCAGCAGUGAGGAAUAUUGGUCAAUGGACGAAAGUCUGAACCAGCCACGCCGCGUGAAGGAAGACGGCUCUAUGGGUUGUAAACUUCUUUUGUAAGGGAGUAAAACGCGGCACGUGUGCCUUUUUGCAUGUACCUUAUGAAUAAGGAUCGGCUAACUCCGUGCCAGCAGCCGCGGUAAUACGGAGGAUUCGAGCGUUAUCCGGAUUUAUUGGGUUUAAAGGGAGCGUAGGUGGGUUGUUAAGUCAGUUGUGAAAGCCCGCGGCUCAACCGUGGCAUUGCAUUGGAUACUGGCGGGCUGGAGUGCAGUUGAGGUAGGCGGAAUUCGUGGUGUAGCGGUGAAAUGCUUAGAUAUCAGGAAGAACACCGAUUGCGAAGGCAGCUUACUAAACUGUGACUGACGUUGAGGCUCGAAAGCGUGGGGAGCAAACAGGAUUAGAUACCCGGGUAGUC
rnacentral:rRNA from 1 species